rnacentral:rRNA from 1 species
AUACGUAGGGGGCGAGCGUUGUCCGGAAUGACUGGGCGUAAAGGGCGUGUAGGCGGCCGAUUAAGUCUGGAGUGAAAGUCCCGCUUUCAAGGUGGGAAUUGCUUUGGAGACUGGUUGGCUUGAGUGCGGAAGAGGUAAGUGGAAUUCCCAGUGUAGCGGUGAAAUGCGUAGAGAUUGGGAGGAACGCCAGUGGCGAAGGCGACUUACUGGACUGUAACUGACGCUGAGGCGCGAAAGUGUGGGGAGCAAACAGGAUUAGAUACCCUGGUAGUCCACACUGUAAACGAUGAAUGCUAGGUGUAGGGGGUAUCGACCCCUUCUGUGCCGCAGUCAACACAAUAAGCAUUCCGCCUGGGGAGUACGAUCGCAAGAUUGAAACUCAAAGGAAUUGACGGGG